rnacentral:pre_miRNA from 1 species
UCUUCAUUUCACACACUCUCUCACCGGUCAGAGAGGCGAGAGAGAGAGAGAGAGAGAGUGCGAAAUGAAGAGA